UGGGGAAUAUUGCACAAUGGGCGCAAGCCUGAUGCAGCCAUGCCGCGUGUAUGAAGAAGGCCUUCGGGUUGUAAAGUACUUUCAGUCGGGAGGAAGGUGGUAAGGUUAAUAACCUUAUCAAUUGACGUUACCGACAGAAGAAGCACCGGCUAACUCCGUGCCAGCAGCCGCGGUAAUACGGAGGGUGCAAGCGUUAAUCGGAAUUACUGGGCGUAAAGCGCACGCAGGCGGUUGAUUGAGUCAGAUGUGAAAUCCCCGGGCUUAACCCGGGAAUUGCAUCUGAUACUGGUCAGCUAGAGUCUUGUAGAGGGGGGUAGAAUUCCAUGUGUAGCGAUGAAAUGCGUAGAGAUGUGGAGGAAUACCGGUGGCGAAAGCGGCCCCCUGGACAAAGACUGACGCUCAGGUGCGAAAGCGUGGGGAGCAAACAGG
rnacentral:rRNA from 1 species